GCCGACAUAGCUCAGUUGGUAGAGCAACUGAUUCGUAAUCAGUAGGUCUCCGGUUCAAAUCCGGAUGUCGGCUCCAAAG
rnacentral:tRNA from 1 species